AACGCACAUUGCGCCCCUUGGUAUUCCGAGGGGCAUGCCUGUUCGAGCGUCAUUACAACCCUCAAGCUCUGCUUGGUAUUGGGCCUCACCCGUUAGGGCGUGCCUUAAAAUCAGUGGCGGUGCCAUCUGGCUCUAAGCGUAGUAAUUUUUCUCGCUAUAGAGUCCUGUGGACGCUUGCCAGCAACCCCAAAUUUUCUAUGGUUGACCUCGGAUCAGGUAGGGAUACCCGCUGAACUUAA
rnacentral:misc_RNA from 1 species